rnacentral:lncRNA from 1 species
CAGCCACCUAUCUUUUCUAUGAGUUUUCUCCCUGUAAUUUCCCAAGGCAGCCUCUUUUCUUGACUCCAAAAAGGGACUAGAUUUUCUGUAGAUUAUUCUCCCAUUUUUCUUCCUUCAAGUUGGCUGCCACUAUGAUUGAAUUUCAAAGUAAAGGCCCAAGAAUUCUUCUCUUCCUUUCUUCCCACAGCCUGCAAUGCAUGACUUCCAACGCCAACUUUUAUUUUCUUCCAAGCUGCUACCUUAUUUUUUUAUUCUUUCCUCAACAGCCUAAAUUUUUUUCCCCAAGAAGCUCCAAGCUGCUACCUGAGGAAAUUACAUGAUAUCAAGGCUUUAAACAUCACAGUUCAAAAAUCAGGGUUGAAGUUUCAUUAUUCAGAAAUCAGGUAUUGAUUUAAUAAUUUAAAUAUUAAAUAUUUCACUCAAAUUCAAUUUCAACCAUAAUUCAUUUCUCUCUCUACCAUCUAUAUUUUCUCCCUUCUCUCUACCACAAAACACCACUGUCGCCAUCGGCAGUGGUGAUUCACGAUGGUGGUGAAGCUCUAAAGCAACCUUACCGAUGACUAUUCUGUUUAUUUUCUCUCUAUGGUGUAAGGCAGAGAUAGCGUCGUGAUAAUAUGGUGUGGUGUGCUACGCGUUUGGCCUUCCUCUGCCAUCUUUUCCUUAAUCUUUCUCUCAUAGUCUCACUUUCUUUGCGUGUUUUUUGAGUAUGGAUUAAAGGGUUUUUGUCUCCAAGAUUUUCUCAAAACUGCUGAAACAAAAGGAAGGCAAAGAGGCACAAAUAUUGCUUGCGUGUACUUACUUUCAUUUUCCUGCAAAACCAAAGGUUCAAUUCUUGUUUCCGAAGCUACAUUUUAUACAAUUUACUAAUUAGCUUUGAUUUUGGGGAAGAGUAAGUCUGCAUUUGGCGCCAUAAGCUUGAAUUCAUUGUUUAGAAUCAGGAUUAUGAAAAUUUUAAAACAUUAAUUACCAAAACCCCAUUUGAUGCUGUCAAUAUGACAAAAGGAGAUUUUAAUUUUUUUUUUUUUCCCUUUUGAUAUAUGGGAUAUUGCUACUGGAUUAAGUUUUUAAAAAUGGAAGCAACAAUGUUAAUGUAUCUUCAGAGCUAGUUUUUCCUUUUCACCAUUGAAAAGGGCAGCAUCAAGUGGGGUAUAUUUAUAGUGAUACAGGUGGUAGGAAUGUGCCAUUGCUACCUAUUGCCUAGUACCUUCUAGUCUUCCUUUGUGGGGAAAGUAAUGUUGAUUUUUUGAUUUAGUACAUAGAAGUCAUUAGACAAUUUGUGUGGUGGUGUGGUGCAGUCGGUCAUUGUAUUUUGGUGAUCAUUUUUGUUGUUGUUGGCUAAGGACGAGGUGUAAUGGUGAUUGUGACCAACUAUUUGGUUGCUCUAUGACCAAGUAUUAGUAAUGAAAUGGGAUUGCGGGUGGAGUUUUUGGUGUGUGUGACCAAUGAUUUGGCCUGUGAUCUUUAAAAAAAUAAUCCGUGACUAAUAAAUGUGAAAAUAUGUGAUUCAUAGAUAAAUUGUGACCAAUAAUUUGAAUGAUCUGUGACCUCAAAAUAAUCUGUGAUCUACAAAAUUUUUGAUUUGAUACCACGAAAUAAUUCAUGACAAAUUAAUUUAAUGAUACGUGACCAGUAAAUAAAUCCAUGACAUAUAAUUAUGAAUUUGUAACCAUUAAUUGUAUAACUGUGA